rnacentral:tRNA from 1 species
GGUGACAUGGCCGAGCGGUCUAAGGCGCCAGAAUCAGGUUACAUAUGUAUCCAAUCUGGUCUUUCGGGGCGUGAGUUCGAAUCUCACUGUCAUCA